GACGACGCUGGCGGCGUGCUUAACACAUGCAAGUCGAACGAGUGGCGAACGGGUGAGUAAUGUCUGGGAAACUGCCUGAUGGAGGGGGAUAACUACUGGAAACGGUAGCUAAUACCGCAUACCAUCGGAUGUGCCCAGAUGGGAUUGUCUAGGAGGUGGGGUAACGGCUCACCUAGUCUACGAUCCCUAGCUGGUCUGAGAGGAUGACCAGACACACUGGAACUGAGACACGGUCCAGACUCCUACGUGAGGCAGCAGUGGGUAAUAUUGCACAAUGGGCGCAAGCCUGAUGCAGCCAUGCCGCGUGUAUGAAGAAUGCCUUCGGGUUGUAAAGUACUUUCAGCGAGGAGGCGUUACUCGCAGAAGAAGCACCGGCUAACUCCGUGCCAGCAGCCGCGGUAAUAC
rnacentral:rRNA from 1 species